UCCCACGCGCGUGUUCUCUGCGGAUGAACUCCGUCGACGAAUCACCCUCCCUCGCAAAGCUUCGAAAGCGAGGGAGAAGCGCGCCGAGCUCUGAUUGGUCCUCGUGACCUCGCCGUCCCUCCCGCUCCUUCUGACAGGCAUGUGAUGCCGAACGUUUCCGAAGCCGGUCGGUUGCAGCCGGCUGCGGCUCAAUGGGAAGCGUACCGUAUUUACCCCGCUCUGCGAAAGAACCGAAAGCUACCGAGGAGUCCCGAAAGUUACCGAAGCGACCCGGAGUUUUCGAACGCGCUCCACAGAUUCACUGGAUUUAGAAGCGGAGGGACAGCUCCAUUGGUUACGCCCAUGGAGAAGGUGCAAAGCUGGUUAUUAGGAAGGAGAGAGAAAAAUGUUGCGCUGCACACUGAAACUAUGCUCAGCUCUCUCCCCAGCAUAACUUCAGAAGUGGCACAUUCAUGCUUGCCUGUGCUCAAUCUUACGGACUAGAAACUUGGGUUUAAAAACCAACAAGAAAUUGAAAGCUGAGAUGAUUUGAAUGCUGAAUUACGAACCAAAAGGCACUUGCCUGAGGUUCGUGCAGUGAACUAUGGAAUAAUUAUACACACAGCUCUGGGUAUGUGGCAAGACUCCAACUAUAUCAAUAAACACAUCACCUGU